GGCGCUAUAGUGUAGUGGCUAUCACAACGGAUUCUGACCAUUGAUCAAUUUCCGUUAACCCAGGUUCGAACCCUGGUAGCGCCU